rnacentral:rRNA from 1 species
GACGAACGCUGGCGGCGUGCUUAACACAUGCAAGUCGAACGGAAAGGCCCUGCUUGCAGGGUACUCGAGUGGCGAACGGGUGAGUAACACGUGGGUGAUCUGCCCUGCACUUCGGGAUAAGCCUGGGAAACUGGGUCUAAUACCGGAUAGGAGCCAUUUUUAGUGUGAUGGUUGGAAAGUUUUUUCGGUGUAGGAUGAGCUCGCGGCCUAUCAGCUUGUUGGUGGGGUAAUGGCCUACCAAGGCGGCGACGGGUAGCCGGCCUGAGAGGGUGGACGGCCACAUUGGGACUGAGAUACGGCCCAGACUCCUACGGGAGGCAGCAGUGGGGAAUAUUGCAUAAUGGGAGCAAGCCUGAUGCAGCGACGCCGCGUGGGGAUGACGGCCGUCGGUUUGGAAACUCCGUUCGCUAGGGACGAAGCUUUUUGUGACGUUACCUAGAGAAGAAGCACCGGCUAGCUACGUG